GUAAUGGCGUAUAUGUUCGUAACAAAGCAAUUAAAGAAGGACUUACUUUCUAAAUAAUCUUCAAGGUACAGCAUUUUGAUACAAAAAUGAUACGAAGACCUUUAACAGAAAUAACUCUCAAACUUGAUGAUUUGCAAGAGUAUGAGGCUUAUAGACGCGAACAAGCAACCAAUUCAUCGGUAAAUAACGAAAUGCAAGAAGAUACCCCUAAAUCAUUAGCGGGCGCAACAAAAACAACAGAAGAAAUACACAAUAGAAUAGGGUAUGCUCCAAAGAAAAAGCCCAGUGGACCAAGUACUGUAUAAAAUAAAAACAUGGUGUCAUAAUCUGAAUAUUUAAUAAACUUCAUUAUAA